rnacentral:snoRNA from 1 species
GGCCGGUGAUGUAAACUUAUACUUGCUACUCUUGAUCUUGUUAAGUGAUGAUUGUAUACCACCAAGAUCUCUGAGGCC